AAGUCGUAACAAGGUUUCCGUAGGUGAACCUGCGGAAGGAUCAUUAUCGUACAAUGGAGGUGCUGGGGUUGUCGCUGACCUUUGAAACGGUCGUGCACGCUUCGGUACUCUCACAUACAAUCCAUCUCACCCCUCUUGUGCAUCACCGCGCGGAGGCCCCUUUUGGCUAGUUCUAAAGGGGGUUUUCACGUUUUUAUACAUACACCAUUUUAAUGCAAUGUAGAAUGUCAUACUUUUGCGAUCACACGCAAUUAAUACAACUUUCAACAACGGAUCUCUUGGCUCUCGCAUCGAUGAAGAACGCAGCGAAAUGCGAUACGUAAUGUGAAUUGCAGAAUUCAGUGAAUCAUCGAAUCUUUGAACGCACCUUGCGCCCUUUGGUAUUCCGAAGGGCACACCCGUUUGAGUGUCGUGAAAUCCUCAAACCUUCUUGGUUUCUUGAACCAGGAAGGCUUUGGACUCUGGAGGUUCUUGCUGGCCUUACUUUGUUGAAGCCAGCUCCUCUAAAAUGAAUUAGUGGGAUCUGCUUUGCGGAUACUUGACGUGAUAAGAUAUUUCUACGUCUUGGAUCUCGCACUGUUCGCUCUGGAUCCUGCUUCUAACCGUCUCAUAGAAGACAAUGGGUUAAGUGAUUGCCACAUGACCC
rnacentral:rRNA from 1 species